AUAACAGACUCCUUAGCUCAGACCCAAAGCUGUGGCUCUUCUUUAUUUGUUGGAAAAAUUCUUCUACAUGGGCUUCUUCCAAAUGGAUAAAUAGACUCACUGAUAGAAUGCUGACAUCUUUCUCCAGGGAAAGUUCUGACAUUUUGCUGAAGCUUUGUAUGAAGAGGAUUCCUCCUGUGGUCCUGAAAUGAUCUUCCAUGGAAAAUAAAGAAUCAGAUGUCAAAUAACUUGAAAAAAAAGUUCUUAUCAGUUUUAUUACUUAGUAGUCAUUCUAACUCUGACUAAAUUCUUCAGACUGAACAUGUGUAAGAUUACUUCAAACAUGUAAAAUAAGCAAAACUAUAUUACCAAUGUAUUCAUUGAUUCUCACGUCAAAGGAGUUAUGGAAAUAAAACUUGCAAAAAUA